AAGUUGAGAAGGUUUUCCAGACCUUGCAAAGUUUACCCUCAGAAAUCCCAUCAAGAAAGUGGCUUGUAGAUUACAUGAUGGAGCUUGGGUUCUUCAAAUCACUUUCCCAGUGGGUUGGCAAUAACCUUAUGAAAUCUGGGGACCAUGAAACAUGGGCUUUUGAUCUCCAAGGUGCUGUUGAUAUGUUCAAUUCAUACAGGUUUCAGUUGGUGAUAUUGUGGUGACUCCAAUUUGAAUCAAUCAAUUUAUUCCA